rnacentral:rRNA from 1 species
AUUGAACGCUGGCGGCAUGCCUUACACAUGCAAGUCGAACGGCAGCACGGGGGGUAACCCCUGGUGGCGAGUGGCGAACGGGUGAGUAAUAUAUCGGAACGUGUCCUGUAGCGGGGGAUAACCUAUCGAAAGAUGGACUAAUACCGCAUACGACCUACGGGUGAAAGCGGAGGACCGCAAGGCUUCGCACUAUAGGAGCGGCCGAUAUCGGAUUAGCUAGUUGGCGGGGUAACGGCCCACCAAGGCGACGAUCCGUAGCUGGUCUGAGAGGACGAUCAGCCACACUGGAACUGAGACACGGUCCAGACUCCUACGGGAGGCAGCAGUGGGGAAUUUUGGACAAUGGGCGCAAGCCUGAUCCAGCCAUGCCGCGUGAGUGAAGAAGGCCUUCGGGUUGUAAAGCUCUUUCGUCGGGGACGAAACGGUUCGUGCUAAUACCACGGACUACUGACGGUACCCGCAGAAGAAGCACCGGCUAACUACGUG